CCCCGAUACCCGGGCCACUGGGCACCCGGCCAGCGGCAGGAGGACUUCUUUCACCAGUAGCCAGAAGCAGAAAAUGCAAACUGAGCUUCUUUCAGCAAGAAGAGAAUUCGCCUCCCCACAAGGCCGUGAGCGUCUCCAGCCCCUGAAUCCUGGAAGCCGGUCAACACGACUCGCCUUCCGGACGCCCUGAAACCCGUCUGGGGCUGCCCCAGCAGGUUCUGGGGGCAGGUGGCCGGCACCUCCUGACUCAGCCCCAGGCUCCCCCCCACAGAAAAGAGCCUGAGCUCCCAGCACGUCCUGAAACCCGUCCUGACCGGGCCAGCGUAGGCCACGCGCUCCUGCCGGGAGUGGCCGGCCCUGGAAAUGCCACAUGCUGGUCAGCUGAGCUUCGGGCCUUGGCUCCGCCUGUGAUUCCUGGAUCCCAUGUUGGCUUCUCUUGACUCACUGCAGGCGGCCCUUCCUUGAUCUGAGAUGACAGCUAUUUCUGCUACAUUUCCAUUUGCAUAGAAAGCAUCGGAUUAUAAUGUAUCGUCUCCAUUUCACCAUGCAAAACAAUCCUUCUUUGAAGUCAAUCACGAGAAAGCUCAUCCCAGGAGUAAUUUUCUGAUCAUCAAAUUUGUGAAUAUAUAUUUUAAUUUGCCACCCCUGCUGGCGUGCCAGUUGGUGGGUGUGCUAAACCCUGGAGAUUUCAUCUUCAUUUUCUAAAUCAAUCCUCGGAUACCCCUCAAUCGUAUGCACUUGUUAGGAGAUAACUUAGAACAGGAUCUCAAGAAGCUGGCUGGAACUUCAGGAAUAAUUAGAGUUGAGAUACUGCUUAGGCCAUAGGGUGAGUGUCUAUAAGAGCUGUCAACAAAGUCAGGAAAAAAGCUAAGCUCUUCUAGAACUCAUCCAGAAGAGUGGACUUCCCCUGCCUCUGCCCAGCCCCUCGCCAUCCCCGCAUUUCCUGAAAGCCCGUAUCUCUCCAGUCCCCUCUCCAGAAUGGGCAUUGUGGGCCACCCACAUUUUUACCCCUCUCUCUUCUCAAUUAAAGCCUUGAUUGUCUUCUUGUGACCAGUGCAAUCCACGCUAGGUGGCUGCUCUGUGGCUGCGGGAUUUCUGGCUUCUCCUUUGAGGAUGACCUAAUACCUCAGGGGAGAGACUCCCCGACCUGGAAGGGUUUUCAGAAGGUCCUGGGUGACGACAAAUCACAACCAACGACAUCAUCCCGUUAUUCUGCACAGUGUGCAACUCAGCCGUUAGGUCAUAUCUGGUUUCCUGGUUAAAUAACAGCAAAACGUCUUAAAAUUUCCAACUCCCUGUUUGAGAAGUAGAAAAGAGGAACCAAAGAUUGGUAUCGAGGAUUACGAUAUGAAUUCCAGAUGUUGUUCCAGGGAAAGGCGUCUGGGGCGUGCACUUGCUGAUGGGGUGUAAUGAGAAGCACUCAGCUUUAGAAGAGAAAGCUUCUCGUUGCUGGAGCAUGGACGUGUGUGUCAAAGUAAAAAGCUCUAAAUGCCCCAAAUCCAAUCCUCCUGAACGAGACGGGGAACGUUCAUCAAAAUGAUUUCAUUAACCACGAGUUAAAAGGAUGAGAAAGUUGAUUCUCAAUAGCACGAACAAGAAUCCCACGUAGCCAAUGAGAAGGAAGUUAAAUUAGAUGGAAUCACUUCAAUAUUUUAAGGGGAAAUUAAACUGUAACUCUUGGGUUAUCUCUAGCACCAGGGGACAAGGAAGACACUGCUCUGUGAGUUUUCUGGGUGUUGGCCUCACUUCUCCUGCAUCGCCAGACAUCCAGGUCCUAGUCAAUGAGUCCUAUCGGGCUUCCAUUCCACCUCCAGAGCUCAGCUGGACAGUAAGGAAACAGAAAUGAAUGAGGCAUGAUUCCAACUUGAAGAAACAAAGCCAUGGAAUUCUAGCAAGGUAUGUUCAUUGGAUUGUUAGAAGCAAUAACAAGGAGUCAUGAGGUGAAGGGGAGGGAGAAAGCAAUUCUGCCUUAACUUUGGAGGUCAGAGUUAGUCUGCGUUCUGCUGCUAUAACAAAAUACCUGAGACCUGGAGACUGGGAUGACCAGGCGCACUCUUCCUCUGAAGGGCCACAUCCCCACCUCCCCCUCCUCUAUGAAGAGGGUCAAAAGCUGCACAUCUCACUGGGCCAUUGGGUACUCAUUCGACGCUCCGUGCAGGUAGCAAACUCACAUGGCUUUCCUUCUGCGAAUCUGUCUAUUGCAUGCACUUCAGCACACUCAGCUGUCAGACCCCAGAGGGGAUGAGAAGGUUCUUGCCCGCGCGGUGGUUUGCAGCCGACCCAAGACGGACACCCCUUCUUUACCUGCCCCCAUCCCCGCUACAGUCCUCACCGCAGACCAACAAACCCAAGGAGCCAUGCGGUGAGGGGAGGGAGGAAGCAAUCCUGCCUUCACUUUGGCGGCCACGGCCAGUCUCAGUCUGGGAGAACUCACCUUCCAGCCACAAAGUCACGCUCUCCAGUCCCUCCUGGGAGGCAGGACACGAUCCCUGUCCUCCGAGAGCUUCUGGGGGUGACACACCACACUCCCCCGAGGACCAGGUCACCCACGUUCUCACAGUGAGGAAAGCCUCCUCCGUGGCAUCGCACCCUGGAAGGAAGAGGCCUCCGGGAACCGACGCCUGCGGAGGUUUGGGGGCGGCUCCUCCAGCUCCUCGUGCUAGGACCUCCAUUUCCCUGGAGCAGGAGCCCCUUCUUGUAGGUCCAGCAGCGUGCCCUGCGAGCAGGCCUGGAUCAGAGUCCCCAUCACCAGCACAAGAGACCCUCGUGGGCCAAGGUCAGUGGCCCCAAGUGCAUUUUCCUGGCCCCAGAGGGUCAUCGUCUCUUGGGGGAGUCCUCACACUGAACCCUUCUUGUGUUGCUGAGUGUGUGGGUGACACGGGGUGUCGUACUUUAUAUGAGAGACUGCUUCAAAACAUCCAGCCGUUGGCCUUCACCACGUUUGUUCAUUCAGCAGAGACCUAAGGGCUCCUGCUGCUGCCCGCAAUGUUCUGGAAGCUCAGAUGCAGCAGGUGUCGGACACGGGGACUCAGCUCAGGAGGGGGGCCUCGCAACCAUGACUCGGUUUGCACCUGGAGCAUCCUGCCCAGCCAGUGGGGGGUGGGGGCACCCCAGGCUCCCAAGCAGGACCCAGGAGCCAGGUCCCACCCAACAGCACCAGCGUUGCCCUGGCAACAGGAACGCAUUACUGACAGGCGGGCGGUCAGCGCGGGUCCAGCCAGCAGCACCUCGGGCUUCUGUGAAAGCUGUUGGUGUCCACUCACGUUGCUGACCAACCGCAAGAAAAGGGUCCCCGGGAAAUGUCACGCUCACCUGGCCCCCAGGAGUGAAGCCAUGUCCAAUGCAGCCUGAUGACCACUGAACUUGAUGACUAGACUUGGCUGUGGCUGACGCAGGCCUGAGAGGACACAAGCCCCCCCCAGGACGUGUGUAAGGGUGAAGGGCACUGACCGCAGGGCCAGUCACACAAGAAUGGCCUGGUCUGGACAAAUGGGCAUGUGGCCCUCAGCACAGGACUGAGGCAGGAAAUGACCUUCGCAUAAGACCAUUCACUCGCCCUGCAACGGAUGUCCCCUGCUUAAUCCAGGCAGGGCUCGGCUCUGCCGUUUAGUGACGGGUGGAGAGUGGGACGCUGCUGAUGACCCUCAGGGAGGCCACGUGGGCUCACCCGGGGAAGGCCUUUCAGGCCAGGACGGACCUGAGCUCGCCCUGCACACUGGCGCCCCAGGUAGCCAGAGCCAGCCUGGGCGUGGGGGGUCCAGAUGCCCAGGCCGCGGGCCUCCCACCGUCACAACCUAAGCCCACGGUCACAGCACAAGACCCCCAGGGAGCCACAGGCGGGGCACUUGCUCUCUGCCCUUGAAUCAUGCCCUGUUUUCAGAGUUCGCAAAACCCAGCGACAGUGAGUUACCGGGCAGAGCCACAGCCUCGCCCUCCCGGCUGCCCGGCCCUGACUGGGGCUCCAGGCCUGCGGCUGCGCGUCCUGCUGCUCUCUGUCCCCCUCCUGUUAGAGCCUCUGCCCGGGGGCCCUCGUCUCUGGUCAAGAAGACGCCGGGGACAGAGCACCGAGAGGCCUGGCCUCCGCCUCCUCCUCCCCUAGGACUUUGGAAUGAGGCAGGUGCCCUGGCUACACCCCCCUAUGUAACUAGCUCCCGGAAAGAAAGCUACCUGGUGGCAAGGCAGGUGCCUGGGUCUGAGCCACGCCCUGCAGGAGGCGGCCUAGUGAGGGAGCGAGCCCUCGGCCCUCGGCUGGCCCUCGGCUGGCCCUCAGCAGGUUGCAUGGGGUUUAUUAGUUUUUUGCUCAUGGAAAAAUACAGGACGUGUUGCCAAGACCUGCCCUGUCCACGGCCCACACGUGUGGCCAGCACAUCAGGCUGGCCUAGACCCCGACCCGCCUGGAGGAGCGGAGACGCGGUUUUUCUUCCCUUCCGAGGGGCAGAGGCUGGGUGUCCUGCAAACCAGCAGACCUGAAGCCAUGUGGGACAGCUGGCCACCUGACAGUUCCUCGUUUCCCUCUGCAGGACGACACCAGGUGUCACGCCCAGCCUCCACACCAGGUGUCACGCCCAGCCUCCACACCACAGAAGCCCAGACCCGACUGGCUCUGAAGCACCUCUGGAUCCUCUGGGCCUCUCCGCCUUCCUUGCUCUGCGUCGUGUGUGGCACCUUCCUGUCCUCACAGGUGACUUGCUCAUCUGUCUCACAUCUCAUUGGAGUCGGAAGCAGUGAAGCAAGCCAGGCCCCGGCCCCGUCGUCGUCAUUCUUCCCAGGUCAUCGUGACUGAUUCUCUGGUGCCACAUUGAUCCCCCAGGAACCUGCGGCUGAAAAGAACUGCUGAUGCGGAUUCACCUCUGAUGGACUUUUCUGUAUGAUGUUCUGAGAAGACGGAAAUCACAAUUUGGGAUCCUAACAGGACAGCAAAUUCCAUCUAAAUAGAUGUAGGUGUAUCCUCUUUUUUUUUUUUUUUUUAAUUUAAAAAUGCAUGCAGAGCAGGAGAAGGUGGCCGCCACCAACCCCAGGAACACAAAAGCGAUUCUCUGGAACUCUGCACCUUCCUUGGUAACGUGGUGAGUUCCCACGGAAUUCAAGGGACUCAGACCCACACGUGUGCUGCCUGGGUCCUCCCACUCUGUCCCCCACCCCCACCUCAUCCUGAGGUCAGGGCCAGACGUUCAACCACAGGUCAGAGCUCCUGCUCUGUCACCAAGAUGGCCUCCCGUGUCAGAGGCUCCAUUUUUUGAAGAACCCCUUGCUUUAUGACAGAGCAGUGUCCGUCACACAAUAGACACCAAUGACUGUGUCAGGAAUGGAGGGAUGGGUCAUCCAGGAUGAGCGGGGAAACCCAAAUGCCACCUGAAAUGGGUCACGUGGACUUUAAAGCCAACAGAGGCCAGAGGGUCCCAGAAACCUUUGGGGGCACCCCCGAUCGUGAAGUUUUUUGGAGAAACCAGCUACACGCAGCCCAGCCUUAGCGUCAUGACAGGUGUCCCUUUGCCCCCUCAGCAGCCCCUGGCGCUCCUGGCCCCGAUGCCCUCUGGUCUGGAGUCAUUGGCACUUUGGAGAAAAUGAGGUGACGUGAGGAGUCGCCGUCCUUGUCAGUCGAGGCCGAGACACCGGUGACGGAUGUCAGCCACAGCCGGGUCAGGGGAUGAGGAGCCGCUCUGCCGGAACGCUCUGCCUAAUUGGAAGGCGGCAUUAACAGCAAUGAGGACAAUUAACACGAACGUCCAACCGUCUAUGGAGCAGAUGCCGAAAAAUAAAUGGAGCAGGGUUCUGACGAGCGGCCUGCUACUCUCUUAAAGAGACAGGACGUGUGGGAGGUGUGUGUUUGGUUAGAAUCAAGGGCUACGGAGCCAGGGUCAGGGACCUGGCUAAAGGCCAGCUGCUGUCUCCCAGCUGGGCAGCCCUGGACAAGGCUCCUCCUGACCUUCCCCAUGUAGAAAGUGGAGCAGGGUCAGGAGGAAGCCUUAGGGACAGGGGAGCGUCCCUCCUCCGCAGGCCCAAAGGACUCAGCCUCUGGACGCAAGCACCAGGCCUGCUCCUGCCAGCUCUGCUCACUGGAUACUCUCCUGGAGGCCCCUCAAAAACCCUGGGGGUGGGGACCGUGGCUCCCCCACCUCCCACAUGUCACCUCUGGGCAGAAGCUUAGGAGCCAGUUGCUGAUUGACAGGCCCCUUGUCCUGCCGGGGCUCUCAGGAGCCCAAGGCAGGAGAUGCCCUCAACCUGUGUCCAGUCGGGGGAUGGCGGGACACAGCCCUGCUGGACGGACCCGCGUUGUGAGCCUGAGACUGUCUCUACUGUGAAAGCCCCUGCUCCUGCAGCAGGAUGUGGCCCGUCCUGGGUCAUCCUCCCGUGAGGGCUGAAUCACCAUCACCGAGGCCGUCCACCUCCUGGCUCCCCAGGACCUGUGACAGCUGACCUUACGUGACAAAGCUGACCUUUCAGACGGGACUCGACUCAGGGUUUGGAGGUGGAGCGAUGGGCCCAGGAAGACCACAAGAGCCCUUCUAGGAGGAGGAGGAGGGUGAGGGUCAGAGAAGGACUGGACAAGAGACGAGAGAGAUGGGAAGGUGCUGAGCGAAGGCUUGGGGAAGGAGGAACAUGGAGAUGGAGGAAGGCGGGAAGAUUCCGGAAGCUAGAAAGGACCAGGAAACGGAUCCUUCCAGACCCCAGAGCUGUGGGAGAACGAGUGGGUGCUGUUCACUAGGCUCCGGGAGCUGGCUGCCGUGAGACAGGAAGCGACACCUUUUCCACUCUUGGUAAAACAGCCUGCGUGGCAGUGAACUUCCUUCUUCGCCUCUCUUUGAUAGAGAGAUGAGAAUUUCCCCAAAAUUACAAUCUCAAACAAAGAAAGUAUCCCCUGAAAGUUUGAUUUCCUCUUUUAAGAAUUCAAAUGAAUUUCUGUUCAAGAAAAUUUCCAUCAAAUGUCUGAGUUUAAAUUUAAAAAACACCUAACAGCCCAUCGGCCCCAUUUAAUGAAAACUCUCAGGCAGUUGUCCCAGUUGUCCCCAUCCUGUAUUGUGGUUGGAUUGGGCACAGUCCUAGUGUGUGGCUGGCCUGGGGGUGGAGGGGUUUGGGUUCCUCUCUUCCCGCUGGCUGGGAAGAGAGCCCCCCGCCUCUCCUCACUGUGAGCUUAUUUUCCUUGGAUGUGGCUGUGAACAUGCACCCUCUGUUCCAAGUUAAUCUGCAGAAAAUGGCAGGACAAUCACCUUGCAGGUGUCCCUUAGUCCCAGAGCCCCCAUGUCACGUUGCACUUUGCUUCCUGUAUUUAGCUCAGGAGGGGCUCGGGGAAAGUCACUCACUGCCGGAGCGGUGGACAGCCGUCAGACUUGCCAACCUUUGUCCACGCCUGUCUGCAUGUUCCGAGUUUAUGGCUAAAGCCCUGUUCUCUUUCCACUUCUCUCCCCGGGACCCCUGCGCUGGAGCAGCCUGUGGACUGGGCAGGAUUCUUAAUGCCUGGUUUGAUUGAUCGGGUCUCUGCUGUUCUCUCAUUUUGGUGCACAAAGGUUACCUAGCGCCAGAAACAAUCAAUGGAUCACUAAUGUAUGCGGGCAUGUUUUCACCUCUGUUCAGGCCACGAGACGUUUUAUAGACAGACUGCCAAGUCAUUUGGAAGCUCUGAGGUUCAGAUUGCUUAUGUAGCCGAGCCCAGGCAGGAGCUGACGGAUCUCAGGUCUUUGUGCAGCUUGAUUUCUCAUAAGCUGCUAAUGGGCACGUGGGGAGAGGGCAGUGAGAUUGGACAGCCUCCACUCAGGAUGCGGCAAUCGAAAGUCUGCGAGGAGGCAGGAGAUACCACUGACCUUCACAGAGGCACCUGCUCUACAGUGGGGGUGGGGGAUGAGGCCUUUAAAGACAGCCACAGCUUGACUGGGCACACGGCCUGGCCACUGGGGGGAAGCUGCUAAGCGCUGAGGGUCCCUGGAUUUGCACUCAGAGGGAGAUCAUUUCCACAGGGGCCGGCGGCACCGGGGCAGGGGUAGAGAAGAGGGCAGGGCAGAAGGAGGAAUGACCUCAUUAACAAGCCCCUCCUGCCGUUGACUGCUGGGAGGAUAACAGAAUGGAGGAAACGUCAGCCAAUGUCCAGCUCCGGCCAGCAGUUCACCCUCAGAAAUCCACGUGACAUUAACAAUGAUCAUGACACGUUCACGUCACCAUCUUCCCUGGCACUAACCUCCUGACGGGCUUCCCGACACCAUCUCUGCACCCUCUGGGAGCCGAACGCGGGUGAAUAAGCCCUCACUCUCCCCGCCUUUUUGUGGGGCUCAGGCCUAAGGGUGGAGCAUGUGGUCCAGUCACUCAGCUGGGGAGUCCCCCCAGCUCAGAGGUGGUUCAGGACAGCAGGGGACAGGAGCUGGUCCAGGCAGGGCGAGGCCGUCCCUGGAGCAGGAGUGAGGAGCGAGCCCCCCUGGGGCAGGUGCUGUGGGCUGUCCACCAAUGGCCCCCCACCCGUAGUCCCUGGGGCAGUGGCGGAGAGCGCCAGGCCUUGCUUUCCCAGCCUCCUGGGCAGCCAGGGCAUGGCGAAGCCUCGGGCCAGUCCCAGCCAGCAGAACUGGUCCCAGCUCCAGAACCAGUGGCCACUGGGGUGCUUGAGUGGAAGGGGUGAGGUUCUGGAAAGAUCCACCCGUCUGGUGUGAGUGACAGCGUUCCCGACAGGCCCCUCUCCUGCCUUCGUUUGUGGACCGUCCUGAGAAGACAGAUGGAACUGCAAAGCACCCAGAGCUCUCAUGAAGUCACCGCGUCACUGUCGGAGCUGGCUCCCUCCGGGCUCUUGUGGCAUGUGUCUGGUGGAGUGAGGGGCUGGCGGGCAAGCCGUGGGACAGGCCAAGGCUCUGUCAUCUGGCCAAACCACGAUAAGCGAGAAUGUCCCGCAGCUGCUGAAAGCCAUCUCAGCACUCAGGAGCCCAGGGAGGAAAGAAGUGAACAAACACCCGGCCACCGGCCUCAUCCCCGAGCCACCAGCACCCAAGGCUGACCUCUGAGUUUUUCAUCAAAACAAUUUACCUUCACCUGAGUCACUUGGGUGAGUUUCUCUGGCCACUGACUACAUUAAAUUUUAAAAACUUCUGCACAACGGAGGAAGCCAUUAAAAUUUUAAGAAUGUCCUCUACAUUAUAUUUAUAGUAGCCAAAGUGGAUGAAUUCAUGAAAAUACCCCGCUAUCUAGCAAUGCCUUGGUCAAAUCAGAUACGGCCCAUCCAUCCCGGGCUACUGCAUGAUCAUUCCAAGAAAUCCGACAGGCCAGUGUGCUCUUGCAGUAUAUCUAAGACAUCCGUUGUGCAAAAACGUGGAUGAAUCAUAUUUACACAGGUGCACAUCUUACACAUAUGUGUCUUUGCAUGCCCAAGUUAUAGGGCUGCAGGCAUAGGAACUAGUCGAGAAGAACACAUAUUGGAAUAAUGAAGUUUCUAAAUUAACAGGGGUGUGGGACAGUAAGUAGCAAAGGAGAGGCCUUUACCUCACAUGCUUUGAAGUCAUUUCAAUUUUAAUAGAAUCAUCUUUUUGUAUUAUUUUUGAAAUUAAAAAUAAAAUUAAAAGCUGAAAAA